AUGGCUGAGCCUAAAAGCCAAAUAGAUAGCACUGUUGGUAAGAGACAUAUGUAUGUAUAGAUACAAUGUAUAUGUUAUACACACAUAUACAUGGACAUACACAUAUCAUGUAUGUAUCUGUGUGUGUAUAUGUGUGUCUGUGUGUGCAUGUGUGUGUAUGUACAUGUGUGCGUAUGUGCGUGUAUAUGUGUGUGUGUGUGUGUAUGUGUGUAUGGUGUGUCCGUGUGUGUGUGUAAGUGUGUUACCACCCAGGCUCAGCCACUGAAACGUGCAAAUGUGUGUAUAGGUGAGGAUGUGUGUGC
rnacentral:lncRNA from 1 species